rnacentral:rRNA from 1 species
CCUACGGGAGGCUGCAGUGGGGAAUAUUGCACAAUGGGGGAAACCCUGAUGCAGCGACGCCGCGUGAGUGAAGAAGUAUUUCGGUAUGUAAAGCUCUAUCAGCAGGGAAGAAAGUGACGGUACCUGUUUCAUAAGCCCCGGCUAACUACGUGCCAGCAGCCGCGGUAAUACGUAGGGGGCAAGCGUUAUCCGGAUUUACUGGUUGUAAAGGGAGCGUAGACGGCAGAACAAGUCUGGAGUGAAAUGCCGGGGCUUAACCCCGGAACUGCUUCGGAAACUGUGCAGCUAGAGUGCAGGAGAGGUAAGUAGAAUUCCAAGUGUAGCGGUGAAAUGCGUAGAGAUUAGGAGGAAUACCAGUGGCGAAGGCGGCUUACUGGACUGUGACUGACGUUGAGGUUCGAAAGCGUGGGGAGCAAACAGGAUUAGAUACCCCAGUAGUC